UACGGAGGAUGCAAGCGUUAUCCGGAUUGAUUGGGCGUAAAGCGUCUGUAGGUGGUUACGCUAGUCGGCUGUUAAAGAUCAGGGCUGAACCCUGAGCAAGCAGUCGAAACUGCGUGGCUGGAGUACGGUAGGGGUAGAGGGAAUUCCCGGUGUAGCGGUGAAAUGCGUAGAGAUCGGGAAGAACAUCGGUGGCGAAAGCGCUCUACUGGACGGUAUCUGACACUGAGGGACGAAAGCUAGGGGAGCGAAUGGG
rnacentral:rRNA from 1 species